UGCACGGAUUGGACAGUUUACUUAAGAACAUGAAAACAUCACUGGCGAGUGAUUUACAUAUUUCAGUGAAUCAUCACUGAUAGCAUUGCUGAUAAGCUGCGCGCGAGCUUGCGAGAUUCUCGAAUGAACGUCACUUCGUGCGAUUAGUCGCAUCAUUUUAUCUCAUUGUGUAAUGUACGCGAAAUACGCGUGGGAUUCACGCGUCGUGUCGGGAGUGCCGCAUAAAGUGUCGCGUGUCGGGAGUGCCGUGUAAAGUUUCGCGUAUCGGGAGUGCCGUAUAAAGUGUUGGGCGAUCGUAAUUAUUCGUAUUUUCGCGAAUAUCGCGAGUGCUAUAUACAAAGGACCAAGAGAGGAGGAGGAGGCCUGGAGAGGUAUCGGGCGACGACGGAGCAACUGCAAGGUAAGUCUUACUGAUUAGCUGCGGGCGAGUUUAACUGCAAGAUCCUCCAGUACUAAACGGACGUCCCUUCGUGUGAUUAUAAAUGCCGCAUCGUUUUUUCUCAUUGUACGCAAUGUACGCGAAAUGUGCAUGCGAUUCACGCAUCGAUUCACGCAUCGCGUCGGGAGUGCCGUGUAAAGCGUCGCCCAUCGGGAGUGCCGUAUAAAGUUUCGCAUAUCGGGAGUGCCGUGUAAAGUGUCGCGCGAUCGUAAUUAUUCGUAUUUUCGCGAAUGUCGUGAGUGCUACGAAGGACCAAAAGAGGAGGAGGAGGCCCGGGGAGGCAUCGGGCAACAGCGGGGCAAC